ACUACGGUGCUGAAGCAACAAAUGCCCUGCUUCCAGGAAAAGCCUCUAAGCAUCAGGUAACAUCAAAUCGUACCCCAAACCGACACAGGUGGUCAGGUAGAGAAUACCAAGGCGCUUGAGAGAACUCGGGUGAAGGAACUAGGCAAAAUGGUGCCGUAACUUCGGGAGAAGGCACGCUGAUAUGUAGGUGAAGUCCCUUGCGGAUGGAGCUGAAAUCAGUCGAAGAUACCAGCUGGCUGCAACUGUUUAUUAAAAACACAGCACUGUGCAAACACGAAAGUGGACGUAUACGGUGUGACGCCUGCCCGGUGCCGGAAGGUUAAUUGAUGGGGUUAGCGGUAACGCGAAGCUCUUGAUCGAAGCCCCGGUAAACGGCGGCCGUAACUAUAACGGUCCUAAGGUAGCGAAAUUCCUUGUCGGGUAAGUUCCGACCUGCACGAAUGGCGUAAUGAUGGCCAGGCUGUCUCCACCCGAGACUCAGUGAAAUUGAACUCGCUGUGAAGAUGCAGUGUACCCGCGGCAAGACGGAAAGACCCCGUGAACCUUUACUAUAGCUUGACACUGAACAUUGAGCCUUGAUGUGUAGGAUAGGUGGGAGGCUUUGAAGUGUGGACGCCAGUCUGCAUGGAGCCGACCUUGAAAUACCACCCUUUAAUGUUUGAUGUUCUAACGUUGACCCGUGAUCCGGGUUGCGGACAGUGUCUGGUGGGUAGUUUGACUGGGGCGGUCUCCUCCUAAAGAGUAACGGAGGAGCACGAAGGUUGGCUAAUCCUGGUCGGACAUCAGGAGGUUAGUGCAAUGGCAUAAGCCAGCUUGACUGCGAGCGUGACGGCGCGAGCAGGUGCGAAAGCAGGUCAUAGUGAUCCGGUGGUUCUGAAUGGAAGGGCCAUCGCUCAACGGAUAAAAGGUACUCCGGGGAUAACAGGCUGAUACCGCCCAAGAGUUCAUAUCGACGGCGGUGUUUGGCACCUCGAUGUCGGCUCAUCACAUCCUGGGGCUGAAGUAGGUCCCAAGGGUAUGGCUGUUCGCCAUUUAAAGUGGUACGCGAGCUGGGUUUAGAACGUCGUGAGACAGUUCGGUCCCUAUCUGCCGUGGGCGCUGGAGAACUGAGGGGGGCUGCUCCUAGUACGAGAGGACCGGAGUGGACGCAUCACUGGUGUUCGGGUUGUCAUGCCAAUGGCACUGCCCGGUAGCUAAAUGCGGAAGAGAUAAGUGCUGAAAGCAUCUAAGCACGAAACUUGCCCCGAGAUGAGUUCUCCCUGACCCUUUAAGGGUCCUGAAGGAACGUUGAAGACGACGACGUUGAUAGGCCGGGUGUGUAAGCGCAGCGAUGCGUUGAGCUAACCGGUACUAAUGAACCGUGAGGCUUAACCUU
rnacentral:rRNA from 1 species